rnacentral:rRNA from 1 species
AUUGAACGCUGGCGGCAUGCCUAACACAUGCAAGUCGAACGGCAGCACGGGGGCAACCCUGGUGGCGAGUGGCGGACGGGUGAGGAAUACAUAGGAAUCUGCCCAGUCGUGGGGGCAUAACGUAGGGGAAACUUACGCUAAGUACCGCAUACGACGGUGACGUGAAAGUGGGGGACCGCAAGGCCUCACGCGAUUGGAUGAGCCUAUGUCCGAUUAGCUAGUUGGCGGGGUAAGAGCCCACUAAGGCGACGAUCGGUAGCUGGUCUGAGAGGAUGAUCAGCCACACUGGAACUGAGACACGGUCCAGACUCCUACGGGAGGCAGCAGUGGGGAAUAUUGGACAAUGGGCGCAAGCCUGAUCCAGCAAUG